GAGACUGCCAGGGAUAACCUGGAGGAAGGUGGGGAUGACGUCAAAUCAUCAUGCCCCUUAUGCUUAGGGCUACACACGUGCUACAAUGGGUAGUACAGAGGGUUGCCAAGCCGUAAGGUGGAGCUAAUCCCUUAAAGCUACUCUCAGUUCGGAUUGUAGGCUGAAACUCGCCUACAUGAAGCUGGGGUUACUAGUAAUCGCAGAUCAGAAUGCUGCGGUGAAUGCGUUCCCGGGUCUUGUACACACCGCCCGUCACACCACGGGAGUUGGAGACGCCCGAAGCCGAUUAUCUAACCUUUUGGAAGAAGUCGUCGAAGGUGGAAUCAAUAACUGGGGUGAAGUCGUAACAAGGUAGCCGUAUCGGAAGGUGCGGCUGGAUCACCUCCUUUCUAAGGAGA
rnacentral:rRNA from 1 species